rnacentral:rRNA from 1 species
UACGUAGGGCGCAAGCGUUGUCCGGAAUUAUUGGGCGUAAAGAGCUCGUAGGCGGUUUGUCGCGUCUGCUGUGAAAUCCCGAGGCUCAACCUCGGGCUUGCAGUGGGUACGGGCAGACUAGAGUGCGGUAGGGGAGACUGGAAUUCCUGGUGUAGCGGUGGAAUGCGCAGAUAUCAGGAGGAACACCGAUGGCGAAGGCGGUUCUCUGGGCCGGAACUGACGCUGAGGAGCGAAAGCGUGGGGAGCAAACAGG